rnacentral:rRNA from 1 species
UUAAGUGAAUAAGGGUGCACGGUGGAUGCCUAGGCACUAGGAGCCGAUGAAGGACGGGACUAACACCGAUAUGCUCCGGGGAGCUGUAAGUAAGCUUUGAUCCGGAGAUUUCCGAAUGGGGCAACCCAAUAUCUUUGAUAGGAUAUUACGUUACACUGAAUACAUAGGUGUAUCGAGGAACACGCAGGGAACUGAAACAUCUCAUUACCUGCAGGAAGAGAAAGAAAAUUCGAUUCCCUUAGUAGCGGCGAGCGAAACGGGAAAAGCCCAAACCAAAGAGCUUGCUCUUUGGGGUUGUAGGACUGGGACAUGAGACUGCAAUGGAUAGCAGAAGCCAACUGGAAAGUUGCGCAACAUAGGGUAAUAGCCCCGUAUGCGAAAUCCAAAUCAGCUCUACCAGUAUCCUGAGUACGGCGGAACACGAGAAAUUCCGUCGGAAUCCGGGAGGACNNNNNNNNNNNNNNNNNNNNNNNNNNNNNNNNNNNNNNNNNNNNNNNNNNNNNNNNNNNNNNNNNNNNNNNNNNNNNNNNNNNNNNNNNNNNNNNNNNNNNNNNNNNNNNNNNNNNNNNNNNNNNNNNNNNNNNNNNNNNNNNNNNNNNNNNNCGAGGAACACGCAGGGAACUGAAACAUCUCAUUACCUGCAGGAAGAGAAAGAAAAUUCGAUUCCCUUAGUAGCGGCGAGCGAAACGGGAAAAGCCCAAACCAAAGAGCUUGCUCUUUGGGGUUGUAGGACUGGGACAUGAGACUGCAAUGGAUAGCAGAAGCCAACUGGAAAGUUGCGCAACAUAGGGUAAUAGCCCCGUAUGCGAAAUCCAAAUCAGCUCUACCAGUAUCCUGAGUACGGCGGAACACGAGAAAUUCCGUCGGAAUCCGGGAGGACCAUCUCCCAAGGCUAAAUACUCCCUAGUGACCGAUAGUGAACCAGUACCGUGAGGGAAAGGUGAAAAGCACCCCGGAAGGGGAGUGAAACAGUACCUGAAACCGUGUGCCUACAAGUAGUCAAAGCCCGUUAAUGGGUGAUGGCGUACCUUUUGUAGAAUGGACCGGCGAGUUACGAUUUCAUGCGAGGUUAAGUUGAAAAGACGGAGCCGCAGCGAAAGCGAGUCUGAAUAGGGCGAAUAAGUAUGAGGUCGUAGACCCGAAACCAAGUGACCUACCCAUGUCCAGGUUGAAGGUGCGGUAAUACGCACUGGAGGACCGAACCCACGCACGUUGAAAAGUGCGGGGAUGAGGUGUGGGUAGCGGAGAAAUUCCAAUCGAACUUGGAGAUAGCUGGUUCUCUCCGAAAUAGCUUUAGGGCUAGCCUCGGAUAUGCGAAUCAUGGAGGUAGAGCACUGUUUGGACUAGGGGCCCUUCUCGGGUUACCGAAUUCAGAUAAACUCCGAAUGCCAUUGAUUUAGAUCCGGGAGUCAGACUGCGAGUGAUAAGAUCCGUAGUCAAAAGGGAAACAGCCCAGACCACCAGCUAAGGUCCCAAAGUAUCUGUUAAGUGGAAAAGGAUGUGGGGUUGCACAGACAACUAGGAUGUUGGCUCAGAAGCAGCCAUCAUUUAAAGAGUGCGUAAUAGCUCACUAGUCGAGUGACCCUGCGCCGAAAAUUUACCGGGGCUAAACAGAUCACCGAAGCUGUGGAUGGAACCUUCGGGUUCCGUGGUAGGAGAGCGUUCUAAGGGCAUCGAAGCCAGAUCGUGAGGACUGGUGGAGCGCUUAGAAGUGAGAAUGCCGGUAUGAGUAGCGCAAGACGGGUGAGAAUCCCGUCCACCGAAUAACUAAGGUUUCCUGGGGAAGGCUCGUCCUCCCAGGGUUAGUCGGGACCUAAGCUGAGGCCGAUAGGCGUAGGCGAUGGACAACAGGUUGAUAUUCCUGUACCAGUUGCUUUUGUUUGAGCGAUGGAGGGACGCAGGAGGCUAAGGAAUGCACACGAUCGGAAAUGUGUGUCCAAGCAGCAAGUCUGAGAACGAGUGAAAUGCUUUUUCUCUCAAGGACAAGCUGUGAUGGGGAGCGAAAUUAAGUAGCGAAGUUCCUGAUGUCACACUGCCAAGAAAAGCUUCUAGUGAGAAAGUAACUGCCCGUACCGCAAACCGACACAGGUAGUUGAGGAGAGAAUCCUAAGGUGUGCGAGAGAACUCUCGUUAAGGAACUCGGCAAAAUGACCCCGUAACUUCGGGAGAAGGGGUGCUGACCGCAAGGUCAGCCGCAGUGAAUAGGCCCAAGCGACUGUUUAUCAAAAACACAGGUCUCUGCAAAAUCGAAAGAUGACGUAUAGGGGCUGACGCCUGCCCGGUGCUGGAAGGUUAAGAGGAGAGGUUAGCGCAAGCGAAGCUUUGAAUUGAAGCCCCAGUAAACGGCGGCCGUAACUAUAACGGUCCUAAGGUAGCGAAAUUCCUUGUCGGGUAAGUUCCGACCCGCACGAAAGGCGUAACGAUUUGGGCACUGUCUCAACGAGAGACUCGGUGAAAUUAUAGUACCAGUGAAGAUGCUGGUUACCCGCGACAGGACGGAAAGACCCCAUGGAGCUUUACUGCAGUUUGAUAUUGCGUGUUUGUAUCACAUGUACAGGAUAGGUAGGAGCCAAUGAUACCGGGACGCCAGUCUCGGAGGAGGCAACGGUGGGAUACUACCCUUGUGAUAUGACCACUCUAACCCGCUGCUCUUAGCGAGCAGGGAGACAGUGUCAGACGGGCAGUUUGACUGGGGCGGUCGCCUCCAAAAAUGUAACGGAGGCGCCCAAAGGUUCCCUCAGAAUGGUUGGAAAUCAUUCGUAGAGUGUAAAGGCAGAAGGGAGCUUGACUGCGAGACCUACAAGUCGAGCAGGGACGAAAGUCGGGCUUAGUGAUCCGGUGGUUCCGCAUGGAAGGGCCAUCGCUCAACGGAUAAAAGCUACCCUGGGGAUAACAGGCUUAUCUCCCCCAAGAGUUCACAUCGACGGGGAGGUUUGGCACCUCGAUGUCGGCUCAUCGCAUCCUGGGGCUGUAGUCGGUCCCAAGGGUUGGGCUGUUCGCCCAUUAAAGCGGUACGCGAGCUGGGUUCAGAACGUCGUGAGACAGUUCGGUCCCUAUCCGUCGCGGGCGUUGGAAAUUUGAGAGGAGCUGUCCUUAGUACGAGAGGACCGGGAUGGACACACCGCUGGUGUACCAGUUGUUCUGCCAAGAGCAUCGCUGGGUAGCUAUGUGUGGACGGGAUAAACGCUGAAAGCAUCUAAGCGUGAAGCCCCCCUCAAGAUGAGAUUUCCCAUCACUUUAAGUGAGUAAGACCCCUGAGAGAUGAUCAGGUAGAUAGGUUGGGAGUGGAAGUACAGCGAUGUAUGGAGCGGACCAAUACUAAUCGGUCGAGGACUUAACCAA